rnacentral:pre_miRNA from 1 species
GAAAUAUAAGAACCCAUCUCUUAAUUUUUAACUAAAAAAGUUAAGAACCGGUUCUUAAAACUCUUAUUUAAGAGCCGAUUCUUAGUUUUUUUAAUUAAAAGUUAAGAGACGGUUUUUUAUAUUCC